rnacentral:rRNA from 1 species
AUACGUAGGUGGCAAGCGUUGUCCGGAAUUAUUGGGCGUAAAGCGCAUGUAGGCGGUGCCUUAAGUCUGUCGUGAAACUGCGGGGCCUAACCCCGUAUGGCGAUGGAAACUGUGGCACUUGAGUGCAGGAGAGGAAAGGGGAACUCCCAGUGUAGCGGGGAAAUGCGUAGAUAUUGGGAAGAACACCGGUGGCGAAGGCGCCUUGCUGGACGGGGGCGGACGCUGAGAGGCGAAAGCCAGGGUAGCGAACGGGAUUAGAUACCCCGGUAGUCCUGGCCGUAAACGAUGGGUACUAGGUGUGGGGGGUAUCGACCCCUUCCGUGCCGAAGUUAACGCAAUAAGUACCCCGCCUGGGGAGUACGGCCGCAAGGCUUAAACUCAAAUGAAUUGACGGGG